AUGCCCAAGGGGAAGGUCAGCUCUGCUGAAGGAGCCGCCAAGGAAAAGCCCAAGAGGAGAUCGGCGCGGUUGUCAGUUAAACCUCCUGCAAAAGUGGAAGCGAAGCCGAAAAACGCAGCAGUGAAGGAUAAAUCUUCAGACAAAAAAGUGCAAACAAAAGGGAAAAAGGGAGCAAAGGGAAAACAGGCCGAAGUGGCUAACUAAGAAACUAAAGAUUUACCUGCAGAAAACGGGGAAAUGAAAAGUGAGGAGAGUCCAGCCUCUGAUGAAGCAGGAGAGAAAGAAGCCGAGUCUGAUUAA
rnacentral:lncRNA from 1 species